AGGGGAAGUUGUGUGAGGAGCAGCUGAGGUCACUUGGUCUGUCCAGCCUGGAGGAGACUGAGGGGAGAUCUCACUGCAGUCUGCAGCUGCCUCAGGAGGGAAAGCAAAGGGCCGGGCACUGAUCUCUUCUCUGGGUCCCGGGAAUAUCAUCUGGCAAGGGUGGCAUUCUCUCACAGUGCACAAAGGAAGUCCAGCAGAGGGACAUGUUCACUCUGAAAGCAGCUAAGUUUUGGAGUGCACCUGGAAGGUCUGCUUUGACAAUCUGCUGGUUCAAGCAGGGACCUGCAGAGAGUGUUCAUGGAAUCAGCCGCAGAGAAAAGCCUCUUACUUUAGAGGAAAGAAAAUGUUAAUGAAAUUUUUAACAUACAACACAGUACAAUACAAUGAGUAAAACCAUGCAAAUAAAAAAAAAUUAAAAAGCAAGAGACUAAUGUAUUACAGGAACAUUGAAUGCACAAAUUUGUGAUUUUCAGGUGAGGAGCAAAAAG